UGAGGGCCCUCUGGGUCCACCUCCCACCCGUGUUUAUUGUACCUUGUUGCUUCGGUGCGCCCGCCUCACGGCCGCCGGGGGGCUUCUGCCCCCGGGUCCGCGCGCACCGGAGACACCAUUGAACUCUGUCUGAAGAUUGCAGUCUGAGCAUAAACUAAAUAAGUUAAAACUUUCAACAACGGAUCUCUUGGUUCCGGCAUCGAUGAAGAACGCAGCGAAAUGCGAUAACUAAUGUGAAUUGCAGAAUUCAGUGAAUCAUCGAGUCUUUGAACGCACAUUGCGCCCCCUGGUAUUCCGGGGGGCAUGCCUGUCCGAGCGUCAUUGCUGCCCUCAAGCACGGCUUGUGUGUUGGGCUCCGUCCCCCCGGGGACGGGUCCGAAAGGCAGCGGCGGCACCGAGUCCGGUCCUCGAGCGUAUGGGGCUUUGUCACCCGCUCUGUAGGCCCGGCCGGCGCCAGCCGACAACCAAUCAUCCUUUUUUCAGGUUGACCUCGGAUCAGGUAGGGAUACCCGCUGAACUUAAGCAUAU
rnacentral:rRNA from 1 species